GUCUACUGCCAUGCCACCCUGAACAAGCCCGAUCUCGUCUGAUCUCAGAGGCUAAGCAGGGUCGGACCUGGUUAGUACUUCAAUGGGAGACCACCCAGAGAACCAAGUGCUGCAGGUG
rnacentral:rRNA from 1 species